rnacentral:rRNA from 1 species
GCGCGAAAACUUUACAAUGCGGGAAACCGUGAUAAGGGGAUCUCGAGUGCCAGCAUAUAAUGUUGGCUGUCCAGAUGCCUAAAAAGCAUCUGUUAGCAAGGGCCGGGCAAGACCGGUGCCAGCCGCCGCGGUAACACCGGCGGCCCGAGUGGUAACCGCUAUUAUUGGGUCUAAAGGGUCUGUAGCCGGCCAGGUAAGUCCCUUGGGAAAUCUGGCAGCUCAACUGUCAGGCUGCUAGGGGAUACUGUUUGGCUUGGGACCGGGAGAGGUGAGAGGUACCUUGGGGGUAGGGGUGAAAUCUUGUGAUCCUCGAGGGACCACCAGUGGCGAAGGCGUCUCACCAGAACGGGUCCGACGGUAAGGGACGAAAGCUAGGGGCACGAACCGGAUUAGAUACCCGGGUAGUCCUAGCCGUAAACGAUGCUCGCUAGGUGUCAGUCACGGUGCGACCGUGAUUGGUGCCGUAGGGAAGCCGUGAAGCGAGCCACCUGGGAAGUAUGGCCGCAAGGCUGAAACUUAAAGGAAUUGGCGGGGGAGCACUACAACGGGUGGAGCCUGCGGUUUAAUUGGAUUCAACGCCGGAAAUCUCACCGGGGGCGACAGCAAUAUGAAGGUCAGGCUGAAGACCUUACCGGAUUAGCU